CAAAUUUAUAUCAUUGCACUAUGUAUCCAUUUGGAGAAUGUUAUUUUCAAAUAUGAAGCAUAUAUAUGCCUUUGUAAAUAUUUCAACUAUUGUGUAUAGGACUUGUAUAAGUUUAUGAAACUGCAAAUUUAACUUUUAGGGUAUUCAUUUUAGUUGUUAUUGUGAUUUAAACCUUUAUUCCUAUUAUAAUCUGGAUAUAAGCUACAUAUAUAUGAUGAGACUGCUAAAUGUCAAUAAAGUUUUUAAGAUGACUGAAAAAGCCGAUUGUUAACGUCAUACCCGGAAGUGAAUGAUGGAAAACGUUGGAACGCAUGUUGCGUUCCACUAGGCGCAACCCGAAAAUGGAAUUCACCUGAACAUUAACUGACAAGUGGGCUAUUUAAAACAAGGAACAUUGAACGGACUACACGACAGCUAACAGAGGAAGCCUAUUUUAGAAGGCGAAACGCGUUUUGGACACUUAUUAACUACAUAGCUUAUCCAGAUAUUUAUCUGAUAUUAUUAUUUUUAUAGUUGAUAUUUUAUUCGGAUCAAUAAAGCGCCUUUUUCCUAAAGAAACCACUCUCAUCUGGCAUUUGUAUACUGUGAAGCUGGCCAAGAGGGGAAAAAGGCAAGCACAUACCACAUUGGAAAAGGACUUGGACAUCCUAUAAUAGUCCAAAGGCGCAUACCAUUUGAGUCAUAUGAGGGUAUGACUCUAGGCUUGUGAGUGAUCUUGCUCUUUUAUUUUACUUUUCAAGCUUUUAAAUACUGUAUUGCACUAUUUGCAUAUUUUAUUUUCCAGAAUAUCUGUUGAAAUAUUGCUCGGAAACUCCACCUUUUAUAUGUAUGUAUAUUAUCUGUUUUUAAG